GAUGAACGCUGGCGGCGUGCCUAAUACAUGCAAGUCGAGCGAACAGACGAGGAGCUUGCUCCUCUGACGUUAGCGGCGGACGGGUGAGUAACACGUGGAUAACCUACCUAUAAGACUGGGAUAACUUCGGGAAACCGGAGCUAAUACCGGAUAAUAUAUUGAACCGCAUGGUUCAAUAGUGAAAGACGGUUUUGCUGUCACUUAUAGAUAGAUCCGCGCCGCAUUAGCUAGUUGGUAAGGUAACGGCUUACCAAGGCAACGAUGCGUAGCCGACCUGAGAGGGUGAUCGGCCACACUGGAACUGAGACACGGUCCAGACUCCUACGGGAGGCAGCAGUAGGGAAUCUUCCGCAAUGGGCGAAAGCCUGACGGAGCAACGCCGCGUGAGUGAUGAAGGUCUUCGGAUCGUAAAACUCUGUUAUUAGGGAAGAACAAAUGUGUAAGUAACUAUGCACGUCUUGACGGUACCUAAUCAGAAAGCCACGGCUAACUACGU
rnacentral:rRNA from 1 species